rnacentral:rRNA from 1 species
CCUACGGGAGGCAGCAGUGGGGAAUAUUGGACAAUGGGCGAAAGCCUGAUCCAGCCAUGCCGCGUGUGUGAAGAAGGCCUUCGGGUUGUAAAGCACUUUCAGUGGGGAAGAAAGCCUUGGGGCUAAUACCCUCGAGGAAGGACAUCACCCACAGAAGAAGCACCGGCUAACUCCGUGCCAGCAGCCGCGGUAAUACGGAGGGUGCGAGCGUUAAUCGGAAUUACUGGGCGUAAAGCGCGCGUAGGCGGUCUGAUAAGCCGGUUGUGAAAGCCCCGGGCUCAACCUGGGAACGGCAUCCGGAACUGUCAGGCUAGAGUGCAGGAGAGGAAAGUAGAAUUCCCGGUGUAGCGGUGAAAUGCGUAGAGAUCGGGAGGAAUACCAGUGGCGAAGGCGGCCUUCUGGACUGACACUGACGCUGAGGUGCGAAAGCGUGGGUAGCAAACAGGAUUAGAUACCCGAGUAGUC